rnacentral:lncRNA from 1 species
ACUAUUUAGCAAUGUUAACAAGGAAAUCUAUAAACCUCUUGUCCCUUGACUACAAGAUGCAUAGAAGCCUCACCUCACGGGUUAUGUAAAAAUUAAUUAAGGGCCAUGAAGUAUCUGGAAGUAGUUCAUAGUCUACAUUCAUAAUUAAAAUUAAGAUCUCAUUAUUCUUUUGGAAACAGUUGCCAUUAUAGUUGUUGGAAAUAAAACGGAACUUCAGGAAAGGACACAAUCACCCUUCAGAAUGAGCUUCCUUAGAAGGCAGCCCUGCAGGAAAAGACAAGGACUCCAGAUCCAAAGAAGAGUGUAGCAGAAAAUAUGAAAAAUCAAUUCAGCACAUUCCCACGCUUGAGCCUGUGCCCCAGCGACCUGGCCAGCCAUGCACUAGUGGGCAAUAGCCAACCUGUUAUUAUCUCAUGGAGACUCUCCGGACUGGAGCUCCUAAAACUUCUCCACCCAGCUCACUAAGUUCCCACUGGCAGGUUGUUUCCACGCUAACCUCAUGCUUAAAUUCCACCCGUGGCCUUCAUGGUGCACCUCAGACAAACCCAUGCUUUACCGAUGUGCAUUGCUCUCUCAAACCCAGACAAGCCAUUGUGUGAAGGAAAAUACAACACAAACUUAGUUCAGAAUGCAAGGAUAACUCAAUUGCUGGGAGGAAUAACUAAAAUCUUAAAAUCCUCUGGUGGUAAAUCCUGAUGGAUCUGCCAUUGAAACCAGGAGACACUCAUUAUCCUGUCCAAAAGGGCUUAACUCUCUCCUAUUUGUUUUCUUCGCCUCUCCAACCCGGAAGUCCUACCUACUUGCCUAGUGAUUGGCUCCUUUAUUGAUUAUGGGAUUGGUUCUCACGAAGUCACCUGAGUAUCACUCACAUCUUUUCCAAAGGCCCACCCAGAAAAGCAGAAUUAGCAUCAACAAACAAAUAGCACCAGGCCCAUCCACAACAAAAGACCUUGAUUAGGAGAGAGACUCUCCAAACAGGGGAGCUUUAGGACAGAUAGGCACCAUGUUCAGAAUGACAGCAUGUGAAAGAAGACCUUUCUAAUCUCCUCAACAAAGGAGGUUUCUGAUUCAUAGUGUUUCAGGGGGAAGGUGAAAGGAAGUUGUCUACCAUGGGACUGAGUCUAGCCUAGCAUAUGUACCAAGGGGCAUGGAUGUAGGGAGUACAUAGGAUCACAGACUUUUCUUGAAGAUGGAAAGGGAGAGUCUGGGCUUGUUUUCCUUCUAAGACCUGCAUGUUGUAGGAACAGACUUUAGAAAGCCUCUGGCCUAAUUUCUUCCUGGCUAUAGUAUCUGGUGUUAGUGUCUUUGUCUUAAGGAAAAGAGAUUUGUUUCUGGAUGUUGUGUUUUAGAUUUUCAGAAGAGUAAACUCUCAUAGAUACUAAUGGACUCUGCACAUAUGGUAUUUUGUCAUCUGACUUGACUUCCUGGUUUGAUAAGUCAUAGGGCAUAAAUAAAUGGGAAAAUAUUUCCCAAUUCAAACCCAGUUAGUAAUGGAUACUAUAUCAAUUGAUUCUUGGACAGAAGAGGUAAAAUUCUGUCAUUUCUUCUUGGGUAGGGUUGUCUCUUAGUUCACAAAGUUGUAAUAUGACAAUGUAAUCCAUAUUCAGGAAGUUACUAAGGCAGAGAAAACAUGAUUUGUGCUUAAAAAUUUGUUUGGUUAUAAAGAAAGUAAAUACUCCAAGAACUUUAUGUACAUGCUAGAAAACAGUCAGUUUGUUGAAACAUUCACUGAGCCAUUUUAUCCAGUGAGUAAAUAAAACAGCCUUGUUAGAAAUCACACAUUGUUUUUUGGGUUUUUUUUUUUUUGUCAUUAUUUUUGGAUUUUGUUUUUUCUCUCUUUAAUAUUUGUUUCUCUCUUUAAUAUGUAAACGCAAACCGUGUUUUAUUCUAGAGAAGUCCAGGAUGCUGGGGUCUCCCAUUACCAAGACAGAGAGACCACCAAGAGAGCUUGCAGACCUGAUUUAAAGCACAUUAGGGAAUUCUAGGGUAGGUGACCUCUAUGUUAAUCUGUUGGGUCUAUCUCUGUGGACAUUCCAUUACUGGAGUGUGGGACUUGGAUACUUGCUGGGAAGAUCUGGGAAUUGUUACUUAGGAAGUAGCUAAGGAAAUCUAGAAACUACUGCCCACUCAUUGCCCUUGCUUCAGGCCAGGUGGCUUGGACAUACCUUUACCCGGGCAUGAAGGCUGGAUCCUGGAGUUUUUUAUACUAGUAAUUGACUUGCCUGGGCUUGCCUGAACUUGCCCACUUUUUAGGCCUCGACUCCUUAACUGCAAGCAAGCAGGACCAGGAGUGCUGGAGUCACAGUUUUAGCAUACUGACAGGGUGUGGGGUGACCUUCUGUCAUUCUUGUGGCAGUUCAUAUGGAAGUCUCCUCCACUGAAACCUCACCUGCUGGAUUGUCUCUCUUCUGGCAGGCUUAACAUGAGAGUAGUAUAUCUAUGCCCUGAAUCUAUACACCUUAAGACCCAUAGGCAUUGCUAGGAUCAUGAAGUGAAGUCCUCUCUUUUGAGGUUCCAGAGGUCUUGUUUUUAUAUCUCUUAAUCUAGAAUUUGUCACCUGGAUCAAAGCAAUGGUGGUUAGAAUUGGAGCAGACUCAUAAACAUAGCACAUGGCAGGCCAGAGUUUCUUCUGGAUACUAUGGAGGGUUUCCAAGGAUUUAAAAAAAUAUAUUUUGGUCAUUUUUAACUAAGAUACCAGACUGGAGGUUAGGCAGCAUGGGAGGGGGCCUCAAAUACAGAAUUUCAAAAAGAGGAGAUCUAAAGUAUAGGUGCGUUCCUAGUCCUAAUAAGGCAUAGGGUAGGAGAGAUGCCCAGUCAACACCAGUUUCAGGAGUAAAUUUGGUCAAGACCUCCUUCAGGGUCACCUAAAACUGAAGGGAUUGCUUUGAGGGGCAAGAUACAAAAUAUUUAGCUUGGGAUACUUGGUUGAUCAGAGAAUCUCAGACCAUGCCACCUACCAGGCUGUGGACUCCUCGGGCUCCAAUAAUGGAACUAUUCCAGGAACCAGAAUCAGUGGUCAACUGCCAGGGUCUAAUUUGGAAAUAGAUUAUACAGAAAUAAAACCAGGAAUAUAUGGAUAUAAGUAUUUGCUAGUUUUUAUAGAUACCUUUGUAGCAUGGGUAAAAGCCUACCCUACAAAGAAGGAGACUGCCAAUAUAGUGGCAAAGAAGCCUCUGGAAGACAUCAUAGCCCGGUAUGGUUUGCCUACUCUGCUUGGGUCUGACAGUGGUCCAGCAUUCAUCUCUCAGGUAACUCAAUCUCUAGCACGAGUUGUGGGGACAAAUUGGAAAUUCCAUACAGACUCCAGAGUUCAAAUCACACAUUAUUGAGGGAUCAAAUAUUUAUGUAAUGACUAAGUAAUUCUCCAUAAAAUAUUUGUUCAAUACAGGAGUAAGUGACUAACUUUGCUGAAUGAAAACUUGGUAGACCCGACUUUAGUCUAGCACUCAAAAUAAGCAUUAUCAAAACUAGAAAAAAUAAAAUAUACAAACAUCACUUCAGUGUCUAAUUUGCUAAAGACACUGGAAUGGAUGGCAGGUGUGAAGACACAGUAGACACACCUAGACUGAGAGAUAAGCCUGAAUUGUGUUGAAUGAUCAAUUUCCAAGAUAUUGGAGUCAUAAAAGUAAAGGAAGAUCAAAAGACAGUUUUAGAGAAAGGAAACUAACUCGACUUGGCAACUUAAUGUGAUGUAUAAUGUCGAUUUACAUGCUUUCUUAUAAGGUUAACUAGUGACGAAAAUCGGAUAGGGUCUAAGAGUUACUUAGAAAGUAUUAGUCACUGUUGUCAUUUCUGUGACAGAGUAGUUAGCAAAACAAAAUAAAUAAAUAAAUAAAAAAUAAAAGUAAACGUGGGAAUCUUUUUUCUUUUCUUUAGUUUUUUUAAUUUGUUUUUGGUUUGGUUUUGUUUUUUACUCACUAUACAAGGAAGAUCAUUUCUUUCUAUAAGUCACAGUGCUGAGAAUUUGCAUUUAAAGCACCUUUGUAUCUUCAGUCAGGGAAACACACUUGCUGCUCAGCUUGCUUACUCCUUUCAUUCAGUUCAGGAAUUCAGCCCAUGGAAUGACACUGCUCACAUUCAUAGUAGGUCUUUGCUCUACUGUUAAGCCUUUAUUGAAACAACCUUAUUGACACAGCCAAUGGUAUGUUUUCCCAAAGGAUGCUUAAUCCCAUAAAACUGAAUGAAGACUGAGUGUCUUUAUUUAUAAAAAGAGGUAAUGUAUCAAUUGUUGUAUCCUUAUUUUGAUACUAUUCUGUCUGAGUAAUGCAAUAAAACUUCCAUAAGGUGGUAGUCAAUAAUGCCAGAACAUAAUUCUCAAAUGUUCCUGAAAAGGUAGUUAUUAGUACUUUUCUCAAUGUGAAUGUUAUUUUAGGCUUUCUUCAAAUG